rnacentral:misc_RNA from 1 species
GCAAAAUCCAAAACUAACUCAAAUUCAAAAAAAAUUAUUUAUUAAAUUUGAACUCAUAUCAAAUCGAAUUAUAUACAUCAAACUAUUAUAUACUUCACUGAACUCAUCUCAAAUCUGCUCAUAUACUUCAUCUGAGUAGAAUUUCAUCUAUUACUCCAAAAUGUCGAUUUACAAUAAUAAUAAUAACAAAUAAUAUAUUUUGAACUUAAUAGCAUUAAAGUCAUAUUUAAAGUUAUUGGGUCUUGAAUUCUGAUCAAAAUCCAAAAUCAGUCUUUUUAUUGUUAAUAUAAUUAAGUCAUAAAAAUUUGACAUAAAAUUUAAUAAUGUAAACUCUAUUUAGUCAGAACCAAGAUUUAUUUAAUUGCUUCAAUUAUGAGCUCAUUUGCUUAUAAAGUUAAUUUUGGGGUGAUUUGCCACUUGAACUUACCAUCAAUCUCUCCCGAUUUGUUGGAUUGUUAAAUUAAAAAAAUUGAUAAAUUAAAUAAGCCAGUAGUUGUACAUACC